UACGGAGGGUGCAAGCGUUAUCCGGAUUUACUGGGUUUAAAGGGUGUGUAGGCGGCUUAUUAAGUCAGGGGUGAAAUCCCGGAGCUCAACUUCGGAACUGCCUUUGAUACUAUUAAGCUUGAAUUAUGUUGAGGUUGGCGGAAUAUAACAUGUAGCGGUGAAAUGCAUAGAUAUGUUAUAGAACACCGAUUGCGAAGGCAGCUAACUAAGCAUAAAUUGACGCUGAGGCACGAAAGCGUGGGGAUCAAACAGG
rnacentral:rRNA from 1 species